rnacentral:rRNA from 1 species
UAUGUGAUAGAGUGUGGUUGGCAUCCAUCAUCUCUUCCCAGAUGCUCUCUUGGACAUCCUCCAAAACCUAGUGGCUAAUACACGGUCGACACGGUCUGCCAAAUGCCUCAGCAAGCAUUGAUUAUUCUCUCUGUUCUCUGUUGGCUCUAUUGGGACGGUGGCCUCAAGCCUCCUCGUCCCGCGGCUCCCUCCGGGGUGCCCGCGGGCACCGUCCCACAACCCACAAGGGACUGCCUACAGUGGCUGGUGUUCCACUGGGCACCCUGUGGUGGAUUGCACCCAGUCGCGCUGAAGACCCGCACCUGGAACAAUGGUAGUAUGCUAUGGCUGACUCAGACUGGUCCCUGACCUGUAUCUCCAAGUCUCUAUUGUGGACAGUUGCACUGGCAGAGUGGUGGUCUCCGGGCCACAGCGAAUUGCUUGAUCACACGGGCUUCUGACCUAUCAGCUUUGACUGUGGCGUAUUGGACCACAGUGGCCAUGACGGGUAACAGAGAAUCAGGGUUCGAUUCUGGAGAGGGAGCCUGAGAAAUGGCUACCACUACCAAGGUGGGCAGCAGGCACGCAAAUUGUCCAAUGCUGAUGCAAUCUUCUGGCGAGACAGCAACGAACUGCAGCAAUCCCGCCUGUCCUCUGUGACCAGUGGGACUUGUAAUGGAUGCUAUCCAAACACAGUGAUGAGUAUCAACUGGAGGGCAAGUCUGGUGCCAGCAGCUGCGGUAAUUCCAGCUCCAAGAGUGUACACUAACAUUGCUGCUGUUAAAACACUUGUAGUCGGAUGCCGGGUGUUGGUCUGCCCUGGGCCACCCUCUGCCCCAAGGAUGAUGUGUGGUGCUCUGUGCUGGUCACACCACCCACAGCGGCGGGCAAGUGGAACUCAACCCUGGGCAGUACGCUCCAUCACCCUCUCAUUGUCUCUGAUGGUGUGAUUGGCCCCUGCUUAGCAAGUCUCCUUCAGUGGGGAUCGAUGCGGUGAUUACAACCAAUGCAUGUGUGUCUGGCAGGCGUGCCUCUCAAUGUUUUGGGAGGUUUGCCACAAAGCCUUGAGAUUCAGCGGGGAAAGAUUGUCUGGCCCUCUGCAACGCCCGUGGUCUCCGUGCUGUGCAACGUCCCUUGCCCACCACCGGGGUCCACCAUCGCAGCUACUGUGGAGAACUCAGUGUGCCUCAAGCAGCCUCCUUUGGCUGGAUGCUCGUCCAUGGAAUGGCAAAGCAUUGACCUGAUGUGGCCUGUGGAGUUGUGCUGGCCUUGGUGCUCAUUCAGGGGAGUCUGGUGCAGUGGCCCAUGGGGACUGGGCCCAAGUGUGACUGUUGCUCUUUCGCCACGAUCCUGAUGUCUUCUCUCGGCCGGACGCAACACAACGAUUGCAGGCGUGUUGUGCAUAGCCAAAGCAGUGCUUCAGCAAGCUGUCUGUCCUAUCUUGCAAUCAUGUCCCACUGGGUCUCAACCCUGUGGAAGUGCUGUACCUCUCAAGCGCGAUGGGAUUGCUCGGGGUGAAGGAUACUGCAGUGCCAGUGGUGAAAUACUCAGACCGCUGCAAGAUCAACCGCAGCGAAGGCACUCUGCAAGGGCAUGUUCGUCGAUCAAGAAUGAGAGUGUGGGGAGCGAAGAUGAUCAGACACCGUCGUAGUCCACCACUGUAAACCAUGCCAGCUCAGUGCUGGAGGUGCACAGCUUUCCCUGACUCCUCCAGCUCUAUGCCCCCAGCAACGAGAAAUCCCAAGCUUGUGGGUUCAGGGGGAAGUACUGUCGCAAGGCUGAAACUUAAAGGAAUUGACGGAAUGGCACCNCCAGGCGUGGAGUAUGCGGCUUAAUUUGACUCAACACGGGGAAUGUUACCAGGUCAGGACACUGCAAGGAUGGACAGAUUGAGGGCUCUUUCUCGAUUCUCUGGAUGGUGGUGCAUGGCCGCUCCUGAUUGGUGGGGUGACUUGUCUGGUUGAUUCCGAUAACGAGUGAGAUCUCUGCCUCCCAGUAGCCCCGGCCUCGCAUUUGGUAGAGUGGGCCUGGGUGGUGCGCAGUGGCUGCCCCAAUCCUGGUGGCAGCACCACUGUGUCACUUCACCCUGCGUCCCUCGAGAGGCCAUGGGCAUUUCCGCGGCUUCUCUGAGGUGCUGUGUGUGCUGCCAAACACAUGCAUGCCAGAGCCAACAGCAGGUCUGUGAUGCUCCCAGAUGUCCUGGGCCGCACGCGCACUACACUGCCCUGGUGAAUGAGUCUUGCAUCUGCCUCGUACUGUGCCCUGAGUGGAAGUGCUCGGGAAACCUGUUGAGCCCAUGCUGUCUGGGCGUGCUGGGGAUAGCUGAUUGCAACUGUCUGCCUUGAACGAGGAAUGCCUAGUAAGUCCCAGUCAUCAGCUGGACNAUGUCAC